rnacentral:rRNA from 1 species
AGCGUAGACGGCAAGGCAAGUCUGAUGUGAAAACCCAGGGCUUAACCCUGGGACUGCAUUGGAAACUGUCUGGCUCGAGUGCCGGAGAGGUAAGCGGAAUUCCUAGUGUAGCGGUGAAAUGCGUAGAUAUUAGGAGGAACACCAGUGGCGAAGGCGGCUUACUGGACGGUAACUGACGUUGAGGCUCGAAAGCGUGGGGAAGCAAACA